ACAGCUGAUAAAUUUCCCAAAACAAUCAUAGCAGACAGAUACGAAACUGGAAUUUAAGUGCAAGGCGCGAGUUUACAUUUCAACUAAGUUCCUUCAAAUAAAUGGUUUACAAAGAAAUUUACCGGAUUAUCCUGAUUUAAGCGCAAACAAAGUGUGUGAAAUCAAAGGAUGGGCCAGUAAUUUAAUGCAAGCAAUAAGAAAAUUAUGUUGCAUGAGAACGAAUGAGAGUGGGAGUGGGCAAGAGAGAAAGAGAGCGCACUCAGCAUAUGUAGCACAGCACACUCGCACAAAACGGGUCGAUAAACGAAAGCAUAAAGUAAACAAAAAAAGCAGGAGAAUAAAACAGGCAAGAAAGAGCAAGCGAAAGAGCCAGCCCGAAAAGGAAGAAAAUAAAGGCGAACUCCCUCCUCUCUCCUCUCCCUUACUCUUUCAUUCCACAUUCCUUCCCCCCUCCCUCUCUAUAUCUUUCUUUACGAUUGUCUGUCCGCGUGCAACAUAACAGCAGCAGCAACAACAACAACAACGUUUCAGGUAGCCCAAGUCGCGUGUGUGUUUGUGUGGUUUCGUAUAAACACACGUACAUAACAUAGGAAGAAAGGGAGAGGGAAGAAACGAAACGAAACGGGAUGAACGGACUAAACGGAUUGCACGUAUACAAAAAUAUCCGAUGGUUACAGAAAAAGGGUAUUUUGGUAUUCGAGUUGCAGCGGCUUUCACCUAUCAGUGCCUACUGAAAUUUCAAACCUACAACACAACACAUGGAUUCUGAAUAUAAAAGAGAAUAAAACACAUGAAAUGGAAACACUUUAUGUUUUAUGUUUGUCUACCGCGGGAGAUCCCACAGAUUACGACGACCACGCUGCUGUUUUUGUGAUAAGCCUAUUAUGGCGGAUUGAUGUUAACUGCCACCAUUUUUUCUGUAUUUAUAUUAUUUUUGAAAUGAGGUAAAGGAACCCGGCAAAUUUUGAUUUUUUAAAUGCGACGCCUCAAAUUAUACGUCUAAUUUCGUAGAGUCUUAUUGAGCAUUUAAAUAAAAAAUGCAUUCUAAAUAAAUGUAAAUCGGUCUUUUUUUUAACAUUUUGACUUGAUGUUCAUCAUAAGUUCGGGUUUAAGAAAAAAGUUAAAUGGUAUUAAAUUUAGUCGUCACUAAAAGCUGUGAAACAUACAUUCUGUUUAAAUUCAAGAAAUGUAGCAUUAACCUAAAUUUGUGUAUUCCAUAUUCUGUGUGAAUAAAUAAUUUUCUUAAAAUGUAUUAUGUUUUAUAGAUUUACGAUAUUGAAUAAAGAACCAAACUUUUCUGAGGAAUGUUUUCUAACUGAACAUGAAAUAUACGCAAGUUGUAUGUAGUUUAUACUGAUUGACAAGCACAAUAUUUAUUGCUGUUUAUAAUUUACUUCAGUUUUAAAAGGGCUGUAUAUUUUGGUACUAUAUUUGCGCAAUGUUUGAUUAGGACUUGUUUGGUUUUUAAUUUUUUAAAAUACUACUGCAUUAUUGGAUAUAAAUAAAUAUUUAGAGCAGCCUAUUUGCCAUAAAAUUCAUCGAACUGAUAAAAGUCCGAUAUGAAUUGGUCAAAUUUAAUUCGAAUGGCUUGCAAAUUAUGUUUAACAGUUUUGCACAACAGUCUUAAAAGUUUCCAUUGCUUUGAGACUGUUAAUUAAAUUCGUUUUCCACUUGGAAUAUUUUAAUAAUACACUUAUUGUUUGCCGACGGCCCUUUCACUUUACGACUCCAGGAUCUAAACUGCUUCCUUUGGCCUGUUGAAAUUGAGUUUGUAGGGCCACUAGCCCGUGUUAAAGUUAUCCGAUAUUUAUGCAGUAGUCCUUUGGUAGAUGGCGCCUUUCAAUUGCAGCAGUUGAUUAUGCAUUCAACGCAAAGUUGAUGCUUAAAUUAUGCACUCUAUUUAAUUUUCCAGCCAUAAGCAAAGCUUUAUGGCCCCUAUUCACACACACACUGGGGUCAUAUUAAAUUCAUAGAACGCCGCACGGCAAAAGCGGCAACAAUUUAAAUUUUAUUAGAAAAUCCCAUUAGAUACACACGCACACACCGAAAGCAACUUCCACUUCCGCCAGAAGUUGGCUUUGUCGUGUGUGCGUGUGUGUGAGCGGGUGUGGGGGGUGUGUAUUCAACGCCACCCACACUCACGCAAGGCAUGAAUGAAGAAGGCCAUGGUUAGGAAAAGGGGAGGGGAGGGGCGCAAAAAUCAUUGCAUAUUUGCUUGGGCAAACAACAACAAAUGCCCACAAUUACACACACACACAGUCGCGAACAGUGACAGCCAGCAGUUAUUUAACACGUGAUGUAAACGGAAUGUAAAGCAUGCUGUAAUAGUCGAGCGAAACUAAAAAUGCAGGCAGAGAAACAUGCGCAGCAGCAGAGAGGGAGCAAUGCACGAUUUCUUUUAUUUUGCUGGCGUAUUCGUAUUCUUUGGCUUAACGACUCCAGCCUUUCGUCGGUAU